rnacentral:tRNA from 1 species
UAUAUUUAAGUGUAUUUAAUUUGCAUUUAAAUUUUUGAAAUUUAAGGUUUAGUUAAUAACUAAAAAUAUAA